AUCAUCCUGCUGGCAUCUGAGGAAGUGGAAGGCCACAAAGAGAAGGAAUUGAGGAGUUGGGAUAGCUUCCAUCAUAACAAGAAGUAAAAAGCUGAAAACUGAAAGUCAGCAGCUCUUCUGGAAUCUUGAGAUAACAUGUCAAGCCACUGCCCUCCAAAGCAAAGGUGGACGAGUAGAUACAGAGGUUCCCAGCUCCUGUGAACAGAAACCCCAAUGUCAGCCCUAGCCAGGAUCCAAAUGUGUAACUGAUGAAGGGCAAGAGGCUCGAUGGAUAAAGAACACAGAUGAGAUGCCUGGUAGUGUGACAACCACAGAAUGGCUAAGCAACAACGAAUUACUGAAAUUAAAGAAUCAGAGCUAGAAUUUAACACAUGGGAAUUGUGCUUGCAAGUGAAUGCAGGAAGGUUAAUGGUGAACACGAGAAAGCAGCCCAGACGGUCACUGUUUUGUCCUUCAUAGUGCUCAUUAGUGCCCGAGAAAUCUGUGUCAGAGACCUGUGGACCUGAGAGGACAGCAUCGGUUCAAAAUCUGGGAACUGUCCCAAGCAUGUAUUAGGAUGCAAAUUAAUUUGAGCCUUGUUUCCCCUGCUCUUGCCACUGGGAGCGCAUUGGGUGGGAAGGUUAAUUCAGUGCAGCCUUAUCUCCCGUGGGCACUGCUGGGGAGCCUUGGAAUCAUUUUGUUUCUCAUCUCUGGAAAUGGAAUGUGCUUUGCCUCACUGAUGAGUAGGGGAGGAAAGAGGUCAACCUGGAGAGAUUAGGAUGCCUACCAAGGCUCCCUGUGCUGCAAGGGGUUAUUAAGGAUCCCAGAAGUGAGAGGCUGCAGUUAGUUUUAGUUCUGAGGAGCUGUGUCUGUAAGGCUUUCUGUGCAGCUGUAGGACAUUGCUGAAGUCCCCCUUCCCUGACUGCUGCUUCCAAAGAGAACAUCCACACAUGAGCAUGUAUCUGACACUGAAGACAACCAAGAUCCAGUUCAGCCAAAGGGAAAUAAAAUGCAUACACUUUUCAAGC
ensembl:lincRNA Gm14061 predicted gene 14061